AGGCCGGUAGCUCAGUAGGUAGAGCCAAGAGUCGCGGGUUCGAUCCCCGUCCGGCCUC
rnacentral:tRNA from 1 species